ensembl:snRNA LOC120096853 U2 spliceosomal RNA
ACUGCUUUUUAGGCUUUUGGCCAAAAUCAGGUGUAGCAUCUGUUCUUAACAGUUUGCUAUCUGAUGUGCUCUCUCUGUUUUUGGAGUAAGGGGGGAUGGAUAGGAACAUGCUAUACACUGAUCCCUA